UGAAUACGAGACGCUAAGGCGUCGAAGUAGUGUAUGUCAUACUUCCAAGAAAAGCUUGCACUGUCAUAGAUAAAAAACGCCUGUACCAUAACCGACACAGGUGGGUAGGUAGAGUAUACUAAGGGGCGCGAGAUAACUCUCUCUAAGGAACUCGGCAAAAUAACUCCGUAACUUCGGGAGAAGGAGUGCCUUAUUCGUAAGGUUGCAAUAACAAGAUCCAAGCAACUGUUUAUCAAAAACACAGGUCUCCGCUAGGUCGUAAGACGAUGUAUGGGGGCUGACGCCUGCCCAGUGCCAGAAGGUUAAAGAAGUUGGUUAGCAAUUGCGAAGCUGAUAACUGAAGCCCUGGUGAACGGCGGCCGUAACUAUAACGGUCCUAAGGUAGCGAAAUUCCUUGUCGGGUAAGUUCCGACCCGCACGAAAGGCGUAAUGAUUUGGAUACUGUCUCGGAGAGGGGCUCGGUGAAAUAGACUUGUCUGUGAAGAUGCGGACUACCUGCACCAGGACAGAAAGACCCUAUGAAGCUUUACUGUAACUUGAAAUUGAAAUUGGACUUUAUUCGCGCAGCAUAGGUGGGAGGCGUUGAUUAUAAUCUUGCGGGAUUAUUGGAGCCAUCAGUGAGAUACCACUCUUGUAAUGUUAGAUUUCUAACUUUGAAUCAUUAUCUGGCCAAAGAACAGUUUCAGGCGGGCAGUUUGACUGGGGCGGUCGCCUCCUAAACGGUAACGGAGGCGUACAAAGGUUUCCUCUGAACGGUUAGAAAUCGUAUCUAGAGUGUAAAGGCAUAAGGAAGCUUGACUGUGAGACCUACAAGUCGAGCAGGGACGAAAGUCGGUCUUAGUGAUCUGACGGUACUGAGUGGAAAGGCCGUCACUCAACGGAUAAAAGUUACUCUAAGGAUAACAGGCUGAUCUCCCCCAAGAGUUCACAUCGACGGGGAGGUUUGGCACCUCGAUGUCGGCUCAUCGCAUCCUGGGGCGGUAGUACGUCCCAAGGGUUGGGCUGUUCGCCCAUGAAAGCGGUACGCGAGCUGGGUUCAGAACGUCGUGAGACAGUUCGGUCCAUAUCCGGUGUAGGCGUUAGAAUAUUGAGAGGAGCCUUCCUUAGUACGAGAGGACCGAGAAGGACAUACCUCUGGUGUACCAGUUAUCGUGCCAACGGUAAACGCUGGGUAGCUAUGUAUGGAGUGGAUAACCGCUGAAAGCAUCUAAGUGGGAAGCCCACCUCAAGAUAAGUAUUCUCAUC
rnacentral:rRNA from 1 species